rnacentral:rRNA from 1 species
GACGAACGCUGGCGGCGUGCUUAACACAUGCAAGUCGAGCGCUGAAGCUUCUUUGGGGGUGGAUGAGCGGCGAACGGGUGAGUAACACGUGGGUGACCUGCCCUCAGCUCUGGGAUAAGCCUGGGAAGCUGGGUCUAAUACCGGAUAUGACCUUCUCUCGCAUGGGGGUUGUGGAAAGUCUGUGUUGUGAGACAUGGGCGGUUGGGGAUGGGCCCGGGCCUAUCAGCUUGUUGGUGGGGUGAUGGCCUACCAAGGCGA